UGUGAACUUAAUUUUAGAGCAAUUCAAGUAAGGUACAGCCUGCUUGAAACAGGAUACAACCUAAAAAUGUGGGUAAUUAAAUCUUUCUGCCAUAAAGUGGGCCUAAAAGCAGCCACCUUUUGAAUAGCGUCACAGCUUAAUCACAUACAGAUUUAAUAACAAAAAUUUUACCGAACCCCACCCUACUACCAAGCAAUUCUAUAUUUUUAUAGAACUUUUUAUGUUAAAACUAGUAACAAGAAGAACCCCUUCUCUUUAAUGCAAGCAUAAAUCAGCCAGGACCAACCACUGAUAAUUAACACCUAUGAACUAAUAGUAACAACACUUCAAGAAAACCUUACUUCAUCUUAUGUUAACCUAACACAAGAGCAUUAUAAGAAAGAUUAAAAGAAAAAGAAGGAACUCGGCAAACAUUAACCCCGCCUGUUUACCAAAAACAUCGCCUCUUGAUUCUAAUAAGAGGUCCAGCCUGCCCAGUGACUUUGUUCAACGGCCGCGGUAUCCUAACCGUGCGAAGGUAGCGUAAUCACUUGUUCUUUAAAUGAGGACUAGUAUGAAUGGCACCACGAAGGUUAUACUGUCUCCUUUAUCUAAUCAGUGAAACUAAUCUUCCCGUGAAGAAGCGGGAAUAAACAUAUAAGACGAGAAGACCCUAUGGAGCUUUAAACAAGUAUACAACUGCCUUUCCUAUUUUAAAAUUUCAGAAAACAAACCAUUAUUUAGGCAUUAUGGUAUAAAGUUUUAGGUUGGGGUGACCACGGAGAAAAAUGUAACCUCCGCAAUGAACGGGGCUUCCCCCCUUAACUAAGAGCUACGACCCUAAGAAUCAAUAAAUUGACAUCAAUUGACCCAAUAAAUUUGAUCAAUGAACCAAGUUACCCUAGGGAUAACAGCGCAAUCCACUUCAAGAGCCCCUAUCGACAAGUGGGUUUACGACCUCGAUGUUGGAUCAGGGUAUCCUAGUGGUGCAGCCGCUACUAACGGUUCGUUUGUUCAACGAUUAAAACCCUACGUGAUCUGAGUUCAGACCGGCUAU
rnacentral:rRNA from 1 species